rnacentral:rRNA from 1 species
UACGAGGGGGGCAAGUGUUGUUCGGAAUCACUGGGCGUAAAGGGAGCGUAGGCGGCUGUUUAAGUCGGGUGUUUAAAACCGGGGCCCAACCCCGGAGCGGCACCCGAAACUGGGCAUCUUGAAUAGGUCAGAGGCUGGUGGAAUUGGAGGUGCAGCGGUGGAAUGCGUAGAGAUCUCCAAGAACACCUAUUGCGAAGGCAGCCAGCUGGGACCAUAUUGACGCUGAGGCUCGAAAGCAUGGGGAGCAAACAGG